rnacentral:rRNA from 1 species
GACGAACGCUGGCGGCGUGCCUAAUACAUGCCAGUUGAGCGCUGACGGUUGGUACUUGUACCAACUGGAUGAGCAGCGAACGGGUGAGUAACGCGUGGGGAAACUGCCUUUCAGCGGGGGACAACAUCUUGAAACGAAUGCUAAUACCGCAUAAAAACUUUAAACACACGUUUUAAGUUUGAAAGAUGCAAUUGCAUCACUCAAUGAUGAUCCCGCGUUGUAUUAGCUAGUUGGUGUGGUAACGGCUCACCACGGCGAAGAUACAUAGCCGACCUGAGAGGGUGGACGGCCACAUGGGGAAUGGGACACGGGCCAAACUCCAGCGGGAGGCAGCAGGAGGGAAUGGUCGACAAUGGACGAAAGGCGGAACGAGGAAGGACGCGUGAGGGAUGGAGGGUGUCGGAUCGUAAGUCGCUGUUGGUAGAGAAGAGCGGAGAAGGGAGUGGAAAGCGCAUGAAUUGACGGUAACUACUCAGAAAGGGACGGCUAACUACGUG